CUUUCAUCCUCACUCCAAUCCUACCCCAUGGUGGGUCUUUUGGUUUAUUUAUUUGAACUUGAAUCAGCAGGAUGAACUAUGCAUACUUCUCGGUUCAUGACUCGCCUUUCUUACUGCUUCACAUAAGGCUCUUCUCAUGCGGUAGCUAAUUUUUUCCAUUUUCCACCCUCCUUCUGCAGCCCUCUUGUCCUAUACCUACCCUUGGCCCUAGGCUCCUACUCUACAGUGUGACGUCUGUAAUACAGGUUCUUGAGUACGUAUAUGUUCUUCAAAUACAUAGAAAUGGAAGUUUAUGUAGUAUCGUUUCAUGUGUGCCACUGUUUUAAAUUAGACCACAUAGAUUUUGCUAUUCUUCACUCAAUGCUAUGAUUUUAAGAUGAAUUCAUGUUUUAGUAUAUGUAUCUAUAGUAUAAAGCUACAGCAUUUAACUUAUCCAUUCUAACAACGGACAUACAGCUCCCCUGUGUGAUGGACAAUGUUGGCAUGAUUAUCCCUACAUACGCCCAUAGUCACUGCUAGAUGAGUUUCUUCUGGACCUGAUUCUCGGUUAUUUCUGUGCUAUAACCUCUGUAGCACGUGGUGAAGCCAGUGGACUCCUCAAAAUAGUGUUUUUAAAUGCGUAAGAUAAAAUACAAGGGAUUAUGAAAGAAAUUACGUAGAGUAAUAUAUAGUAAUUGUGUUUCUUUAUUGAUUAAAUAUGUAAUAACUAAUAACUGCCAAUUUCAACGUAGUAAUAGCCAUAAAUAAUAAUGUAACGUGAAAAUAUUUAUGAGUUGUAUUUAUCCCCGUGUCACAGAUAUUGUCCGUCAGUGGUUUGCUGUCCACAUCCAUGAUCAAAGAAAAUGCUAGACUUUAUUGGCACAUCUAAGUCUGUCUCUGUAUGUCUUUGUAUGGAGUUGUGUGUAUCAAGCAGUGCGUUCUUGGCUCUCCCUCAACAUAUUGAGUGAACCUGUCUGACAACCAAGCCUGAGUUUUAUCUUCCCCCAUCAGUUGGUCAGAGGUACGAAAUGAGGCACCAGUGCAAUAGAAGUAGGAGAUAGGGGAGCUUGGGCCACCUGUUUAUGUAACUUACACAAACCCUGGGGACAUGCUGAACCUCCAUCCUGUGUGUACCAUUUACCUUUUAUGACAGGCUACUGCUACACCAGUCUGAACUUAACUGUCUGAUGGAUCUUAUCAUCACGAAUUCAUGAUGGCUUGCGCUGGUUACAUAGUCACUUGACGUCCCACUUCAGGAGCUCAGUCUGUACUGAGGCCUACUGGCACACGAGGAGCCACUUUUCCAACGGCAACUAGUUCUCUGCCACCAAAGCAUCACUCUCCACCAUAAACCUAGGGUCUGGGUUGCAACUCUUCUAUUGAGGUUUACCAGUGAUUCUUAGUAUCUUUAAAUCCUUACACAUCAAGGAUACUUCUAAUACAAUUGAUUCUCCGUUAGCCUAGUGACCUAAAACGGCUAAAACAUUUUCUCUUCCCUAGAGGCCCCACUUGAAGCCGGCAGCCCUCUGAACUGCUCAAUAAUAGGUUGGCAUGAUAGCCCCAAAUUCAGUAAAUGCUGCCUUUAAAAUCUGAAGGCCCCACCAGGCCCUGUUUGUGCCUCCCAGUGCUCGUGGUGCAAGGUACAAGUUUGUCCUAUUCCUUAGGUGGCCUGUGACAUCCCACACUGCUGGAUCUCUAAAGGUUUCACUGAAGUAGCAGGCCUGUGAGUCGUGUAUAGUGUUUAUCCCCCUCCCUCUGGCAUGCAGAGGUCAUACUAGGCCACCCAGAGUACUUGCCACUUCCUGUUCACCAAGCCUACUUACGAUGCCAUCGUGGACCAGCUUGCUUUUCUGGAGAAUGUCAAGAUGAUCAGGAAUUUUGCAGACAAUAUUGUGAAGAAGCCAGAAGAGUUUAGAUAGACCUGAGUCAACACAAUAAAAUGUACUUCUGUCCAAGGUAAAACUGUUUUUCAUCUUCUUUACCCUUGGGUAUUGAAAAGAACGUGUUUUUAAGAUCAAGAGCUGUUUGCAUACCACAUACCAGAGCUUGUACUGGUCUUUUGUGUUAAAGAUGUUAUAUCCAGCCCAUCAGCUGCAGUUGGAGCUACCAAGUGGUUAAGGUUAAUACACCACCGUUAAGCCACAUCAUCCAUCUGGUUUUUGCAGAGGUAAUACAAGUAAAACAGGAAUAUGAUGGAAACCAACACCUCAGCCUCCUUUAAAUAUUUGCAAGUUGUGUGAAUUCCUGAAGUUUCUCUUGGGAUAUGUUCGAUUUACUGUCUUGGCAUUUUGAUUAGGGAUGGAGGGGGUCAUUUUCAAGGAUUUCUUCAUACCCCCCCCCCCCGUUUUUUUAAGUAGGCUUCAUGCCUAAUGUGGGGCCCAAUGCCAGCCUUGAACUCAUGACCCUGAGAUGAAGACCUGAGCUAAAAUCAAGAGUUGGACAUUGAACCAACUGAGCCACCCAGGUGCCCCUCCUGCCCCCUACCGACCCUGCAAUAACUUUUACAUGGUCGGUCAGGGAGUGUGAAAAUUCUACCAAAUGGUAAGUAUGUUCAUUCAAAUUUCACAUUAGGAAAAUUAUUUUAUAUCUUCAAGAUAUUUUUAGCCUCAUAGUAACAUGGACUUCUGCCUUCAUCACUUGACAUCCAUAAGUCCUUACUCUACCCACUGGUCCAUGAUGGCAUUUUGGCUUUGAUUGUUCCAGUGACAGUUCAGAGCCUAUUAUGUAACAGUUUUCAAAAAGUCUGGGAAGAUUCCUUUCUCUAGUGUUCAUUUUCUAUAGUAAAUGGCUACACGAUUGGGGGGAUGUUUAUUAUGCAUACUUGAGGAGGGAUUAUAAAGUCCUUCCUCAAAGAGACCCAUACUCCCCUUUAAUCAUAGGCUCUGGUCUAUGAGCUGGUUUAAAACUGAAUGAGAGACCACAAUAUUUUUCCAUUUUGUAGCUGACAUCAAUCUUAGCAGCUGUUUGUUGUUGUUGUUGUUGUUGUUGUUGUUGUUGUUGUAUUUGUUGUUGCUGUUUUAUAAGGCAAAUAAGUAAUACCUUGACUGGAUAUCUGUCUUGAUUCUAGGAACAUCGUAAUCUAUUAACCAUUUGCAUGGAUUUCUGUGGGUAGAGGUACUCUGAUUGUCACUCCAGCCUACUAUUAUGGUAGUUAUGUCCAUACUGGCUCUGUUGGUAGGUGCCACUCCCUGGCCUCUGUCAUUCUAGAAUUCUAUCACCUCUUUUGAAGGCUGGUUUCAAGGCAGACUUCUCUUCAACAUAUAGAGGAGAUGUGUCAUUGAGUUUCUCAAAUAACCCAAUGCAAACUUCUUGGUGCAUUUCUUAUUCCCUUAUUGAAGUCCGUGUUCUCUAGGGCUUUCUGGGGAAUAUAGUCAGAUAGAGGGUUCUCUGAUCAAAUGUAGUAAGUGUAAUUAAUCUAUUUUAACAUUUUUACCUCUCCAAGCCUUGAGACCCCUUCCUUACCAUUCUGCCAUCUCAACCUCCUAUACAGUAAGAAAUCUGCAUGGCCAACCUUCAGGAGCCCAUCUGAGCAGCAUUUCAAGAUGACUUAAGACUUCCUUUCCAGGAGGCAUAACCCCACGUCACAGGAGAGUGCUUUAAUGUCAACAAGUUCCCCACUAUGCAGAUUUAUUUUCUUUCCCCUUACCACCACCCUGAUUGAACAUUCUCAAAAUACACUCCCACACAUGUUCUUCCAGUUCUUGCCAGUACUUAUUAUUCUGGUCCUGUAAUUGUUUUGAUUGUAUAAGCUAUUUCCUCCUAGAGUAGGAAAUGUAUUUUCCCAGUAGACACUUGUUAUUCCUGAGGCAAUGAAGGAUGUGGUGGCAGAUCUUACACAGAAAAAAAAAAAAAAGCAAAAAAAAAGCAUUGUCUUGCAAGACGCCUGACUCAGGACCUCGUAGCAAGAAGGAAGACACGAGCCUGGAGAUGCCAGAGGCUGCCGCAUGUAUCUUAAGAAUGAAGCUGACACAGUAGAAGGCUGAGCCAAGAAACUAAGAGAAAUUGAAUUUUUAUUACGUUUUUGGAGCUCCUGGAUGAAGCCACUCAUGACACUAAACAGCCCCAAGGCUUUUCCACUACGUGAAUAAAUAAAUCUUCUCUCCUAUUUAA